rnacentral:tRNA from 1 species
GGUGGGAUAUAUCUAAUAGGUAAGAUAUUGAUUUGCUAAAUCAUUCCGUUAGGAGUUCAAAUCUCCUUCCUACUA